rnacentral:rRNA from 1 species
AUUGAACGCUGGCGGCAGGCCUAACACAUGCAAGUCGAGCGGAGCGGCCGACGGGUGAGUAAUGCCUAUGAAUCUGCCUGGCUGUGGGGGAUAACGUCCUGAUACGGGCGCUAAUUCCUCCUGCUUGCCGUCGAGUCUGGGUCGGAUUAGCUAGUUGGUGGGGUAAAGGCCUACCAAGGUGACGAUCCGUACCUGGUCUGAGAGGAUGAUCAGCCACACUGGAACUGAGACACGGUCCAGACUCCUACGGGAGGCAGCAGUGGGGAAUAUUGGACAAUGGGCGAAAGCCUGAUCCAGCCAUGCCGCGUGUGUGAAGAAGGUCUUCGGAUUGUAAAGCACUUUAAGUUGGGAGGCGUUACCAGCAGAAGAAGCACCGGCUAACUUCGUGCCAGCAGCCGCGGUAAUUC